CCUACGGGAGGCAGCAGUGAGGAAUAUUGGUCAAUGGGCGAAAUGCUGAACCAGCCAAGCCGCGUGAGGGACGACGGCCCCAUGGGUUGUAAACCUCUUUUGUCAAGGAACAAAACCAGGGACGUGUCCCGGACCGCGUGUAUCCGAAGAAAAAGCAUCGGCUAACUCCGUGCCAGCAGCCGCGGUAAUACGGAGGAUGCGAGUGUUAUCCGGAUUUAUUGGGUUUAAAGGGUGCGUAGGCGGUCCGUUAAGUCAGCGGUAAAAGUGCGGGGCUCAACCCCGGCGAGCCGUUGAAACUGGCAGACUUGAGAUGGCGAGAAGUACGCGGAAUGCGCGGUGUAGCGGUGAAAUGCAUAGAUAUCGCGCAGAACUCCGAUUGCGAAGGCAGCGUACCGGCGCCAGACUGACGCUGAGGCACGAAAGCGUGGGGAUCGAACAGGAUUAGAUACCCCAGUAGUC
rnacentral:rRNA from 1 species